AAUUAAUUCUGUUCUAACUGAAACCAGGACACUCCCCCAUCCCACUGCAGGGGGGGAGGGUGAGCAAAGGGCUCAGUGGUGCUUUGCUGCCGGCCCUGUUAAACCACAACAGUCAAGGAGAUUUAUAUAAACUGUCAGUCAGAUACCAAGUCUGACCCUCAACAAACCAUGAAUAGCUAUGUUUAAACUAGAUACCAGUUUUUGCUUGCUGAUCUGGUUUCUUCCACAUGACCUUAAAAAAGCUAUCCUCAAGACAACUAGCUUUCCAAGCUUUGUAUUAUAUACGCGUUUAUAUGGGCACACAUCAUGCAUUCAUGCAAAUAAAAUCUGCAGGACAUGGAGAAGAGGAGAAGAAUAGAAGAAGCAUACAAAAAUGCUUUGACAGAACUGAAGAAAAAGUCCCACUUUGGAGGGCUGGACUAUGAGGAGGGUCCUAAUAGUCUGAUUAAUGAAGAAGAAUUCUUUGAUGCUGUUGAAGCUGCUCUCGAUAGGCAGGAUAAAAUGGAAGAACGGGUAUCGAUGCUUGAAAAAUGUUAAUGAUGGGCACUUCAUAGAAGACUUUUGUGACUUAAACUCAAUCCUGGGGUGCAUCUCCUGAAACUCUAGAUAUUUUAUACUGACACUUAUAAUUGGAAUUUAGUUCUUAAUUUUUGUAUGGUUGAAUACUGUUGCUUAACACUAAUUUUGAGAAUGUGACUUCACAGUUCACAUAGAAAAGGACAGUAUAAGUGUUAACCUAAUGGAAUAUCUCUGGUUUCUAAUUCUUAAAGAAGUAUAUUAGGGUCCUGUAUAAAGCUUAUCUUUGUAUUUGUGAGAAAAUUUAAUUAUCACAUACGUAGCUAAUGCCCUGUGCAAGUAAGAAUAUCAAACACUGCAGCUAUUUCUCAAAUCCUAAUUACUGCCCUGAAGUUUCUUUUGGUGAUAGCGGUAUGUGAAAUAGGAAAGAUAUAGUUCUACUGAUGUUUCUUUUUUAUUUUAAAAAAAUGUGUAGGCUCUAGCUACUUCUCUAACUCAUUUCUUGAAUACACUUCUGUGGCAAGGAUGAGAAAAAGAUGAAAAAGAGAUAAAAUGCAUGGGAUUAAAUAUAUAGUAUAUGAGAACAUAUAGUAGCGUAUAAAAUGAGAGGGAAUAACAAAGUGGUACAUCCUUUGUCUUAAGCAUUUAGGCUUGUGAAUACACUGACUUGGUUAAGAAUUAUAAGACUUACCAGUAGACAUACAGUAUGCAACAGAAUUUACCUAUGGUGGGGUCUCUUAAUGGCAAGUAAAAGUUUUGAGUGAUUGUUACUACUACAUUGAUGCAACAUCCUUAAUGCUGUUGAUCAAUUUUCCUUAACCCAGAAACAUACCUUGAAGUAUAGAUGAAUGGGUAAUUCAGUCUCCAGGCCCAUUCACUUAUCUGAGAAGUCCAGCAGGACACUAACUUAAUGCCUGUCAGGGACAGCGUUAGUUCUUGUUUUAAUGUGGUAGCCACUAUAUAGAUUGAGGAUGACUCACUGCUUAAUAGUCUACCCAGUAAUAUCUGACUACCAAUAAUUAAACCUAUUUUGUUGCAGUCUCAAAGUGAAAAGGUCAGAUUGCACUGGCCAAUAUCCUUACCUUCUGGAGAUGCAUAUUCUGCUGUGGAGGCUCAUCGAUUUGUUCAAAAGUAAUAUAUUUUCCAUGGUCACCUCAGACUAAUGGGAUGACAUGAUGUCCUGGUUUCAGUUAGCACAGAAUUAAUUUUCUUCCUAGUAGCUGGUGGAAUGCUGUGUUUUGGCUUAGGAUGAGAAGAGUGCUGAUAACACCCCGAUGCUUUAAUUGUUGCAGAGCAGU